CCCAGACAGCCAGGAUGUUGGCUUAGAAGCAGCCAUCAUUUAAAGAAAGCGUAAUAGCUCACUGGUCGAGUCGGCCUGCGCGGAAGAUGUAACGGGGCUAAACCAUGCACCGAAGCUGCGGCAGCGAACGUAUCACUUAAAGCGAUUCAGCGGGUUACGAUUGACGGAGCGAAGCGACGUCAAAGCGUAUACAAAGUCGAGUCGGUUUAAGGAUACGUUCGUUGGGUAGGGGAGCGUUCUGUAAGCCUGUGAAGGUGUGUCGUGAGGCAUGCUGGAGGUAUCAGAAGUGCGAAUGCUGACAUAAGUAACGAUAAAGCGGGUGAAAAGCCCGCUCGCCGGAAGACCAA
rnacentral:rRNA from 7 species